CUUCUUCUUCAUCGUCGUUGUCGUCAUCAUAGCCAUCUUCUUCGGCUGCCGCUUCGUUCUCUUCCAUGAUCGCCUUGUUCAUCGCAAGCUGCGCGACAAAGAAAACUGGAGCAAGUGCGGGCGCAGUAAGUAACUGUCGAAAACAUCUAAUUCUAAUAACUAAAAUGACUGCAAAA